rfam:Myotis brandtii contig175714, whole genome shotgun sequence.
GGCAGUUCUCAGGUGAUGCACCUCUGAAUUGGGCUCCCUCCUCUCUGGUUCCAGGUAUGUCAUCUGAGAACCGCA